rnacentral:rRNA from 1 species
AUACGUAGAUGGCAAGCGUUGUCCGGAAUUACUGGGUGUAAAGGGAGCGUAGGCGGUCUUGUAAGUUGGAUGUGAAAACUAUGGGCUCAACCCAUAGCCUGCAUCCAAAACUAUGAGACUUGAGUGAAGUAGAGGCAGGCGGAAUUCCCGGUGUAGCGGUGGAAUGCGUAGAUAUCGGGAGGAACACCAGUGGCGAAGGCGGCCUGCUGGGCUUUUACUGACGCUGAGGCUCGAAAGUAUGGGGAGCAAACAGGAUUAGAUACCCUGGUAGUCCAUACUGUAAACGAUGAUUACUAGGUGUGGGCAAGCAAUUGUCCGUGCCGGAGUUAACACAAUAAGUAAUCCACCUGGGGAGUACGAUCGCAAGGUUGAA